rnacentral:rRNA from 1 species
AUUGAACGCUGGCGGCAUGCCUUGCACAUGCAAGCCGAACGGUAACAGGCCGCAAGGUGCUGACGAGUGGCGAACGGGUGAGUAAUGCAUCGGAACGUGCCCAGUCGUGGGGGAUAACUGCUCGAAAGAGCAGCUAAUACCGCAUACGACCUGAGGGUGAAAGCGGGGGACCGUAAGGCCUCGCGCGAUUGGAGCGGCCGAUGUCAGAUUAGCUAGUUGGUGGGGUAAAGGCCGACCAAGGCAACGAUCUGUAGUUGGUCUGAGAGGACGACCAGCCACACUGGGACUGAGACACGGCCCAGACUCCUACGGGAGGCAGCAGUGGGGAAUUUUGGACAAUGGGGGAAACCCUGAUCCAGCCAUGCCGCGUGCGGGAAGAAGGCCUUCGGGUUGUAAACCGCUUUUGUCAGGGAAGAAAUCCUUUGGGUUAAUACCUCGGAGGGAUGACGGUACCUGAAGAAUAAGCACCGGCUAACUACGUGCCAGCAGCCGCCGUAAAAC